rnacentral:tRNA from 1 species
GCCAGCUUAGCUCAGUUGGUAGAGCUUUGGUCUUGUAAACCAAAGGUCAUCGGUUCGAAUCCGAUAGCUGGCU